AACGGGGGGGAGCGAGCGUUUAUUCGUCAUGACUGGGCGUAAAGGGAUUUGUAGGCGGCUCUUCGAGUUUUGGUAAAAAGACUGAUAUUUAUACUGUAUUCCAUUUAUACUGUUGAGCAAUUUUUUUGAGUGUUAUCGGAGGGUAGCAGAACUCGCGAAGGAGAGGUGAAAUUCUAUUAUAUUCGCAGAGGGCUCGCAAUAGGUGAAAGCGGCUACCAUUGAUAUUACUGACGCUGAGGAAUGAAAGCAUGGGUAUCGAACAGG
rnacentral:rRNA from 1 species